CACUCUGCAAACACGAAAGUGGACGUAUAGGGUGUGACGCCUGCCCGGUGCCGGAAGGUUAAUUGAUGGGGUUAGCGUAUGCGAAGCUCUUGAUCGAAGCCCCGGUAAACGGCGGCCGUAACUAUAACGGUCCUAAGGUAGCGAAAUUCCUUGUCGGGUAAGUUCCGACCUGCACGAAUGGCGUAACGAUGGCCACGCUGUCUCCACCCGAGACUCAGUGAAAUUGAAAUCGCUGUUAAGAUGCAGCGUAUCCGCGGCUAGACGGAAAGACCCCGUGAACCUUUACUGCAGCUUCACACUGGACUUUGAUCUUAUUUGUGUAGGAUAGGUGGGAGACUUUGAAGCGUUAACGCCAGUUAGCGUGGAGUCAACCUUGAAAUACCACCCUGAUAAGAUUGAGGUUCUAACUUAGACCCGUGAUCCGGGUUGAGGACCGUGUGUGGUGGGUAGUUUGACUGGGGCGGUCUCCUCCCAAAGUGUAACGGAGGAGCACGAAGGUACCCUCAGCAUGGUCGGACAUCAUGCAAUGAGUGCAAUAGCAUAAGGGUGCUUGACUGCGAGACAGACAAGUCGAGCAGGUACGAAAGUAGGUUAUAGUGAUCCGGUGGUUCUGUAUGGAAGGGCCAUCGCUCAACGGAUAAAAGGUACUCCGGGGAUAACAGGCUGAUACCGCCCAAGAGUUCACAUCGACGGCGGUGUUUGGCACCUCGAUGUCGGCUCAUCACAUCCUGGGGCUGAAGUUGGUCCCAAGGGUAUGGCUGUUCGCCAUUUAAAGUGGUACGCGAGCUGGGUUUAGAACGUCGUGAGACAGUUCGGUCCCUAUCUGCCGUGGACGUUUGAGAAUUGAGAGGAGCUGCUCCUAGUACGAGAGGACCGGAGUGGACGAACCGCUGGUGUUCGGGUUGUGAUGCCAAUUGCAUUGCCCGGUAGCUACGUUCGGACGGGAUAACCGCUGAAAGCAUCUAAGCGGGAAGCCCCCCUCAAGAUAAGUUCUCACUGGACGUUAAGUCCCUAAAGAGCCGUUGAAGACUACGACGUUGAUAGGCUGGGUGUGUAAGCGUUGUGAGGCGUUGAGCUAACCAGUACUAAUUGCUCGUGAGGCUUGACCAU
rnacentral:rRNA from 1 species